rnacentral:rRNA from 1 species
UACCCGUGCUGCGAGUGGUGGUCAUUUUUAUUGGGCCUGAAGCGUUCGUAGCCGGCCGAAUAACUCCUUUGUGAAAUCCUUUGUUGAACAAAGGGCUUGCAGGGGAAACUGUUCGGCUUGGGACUGGGAGAGGCUGGAGGUACUCCUGGGGUAGGGGUAAAAUCCUUUAAUCCUAGGGGGACCACCUGUGGCGAAGGCGUCCAGCUUGAACGGGUCCGACGGUGAGGGACGAAAGCCUGGGGAGC